UACGUAGGGUGCAAGCGUUGUCCGGAAUUAUUGGGCGUAAAGAGCUCGUAGGCGGUCUGUCGCGUCUGCUGUGAAAACUCAGGGCUUAACCCUGAGCUUGCAGUGGGUACGGGCAGACUAGAGUGUGGUAGGGGAGACUGGAAUUCCUGGUGUAGCGGUGAAAUGCGCAGAUAUCAGGAGGAACACCGAUGGCGAAGGCAGGUCUCUGGGCCACUACUGACGCUGAGAAGCGGAAAGCAUGGGGAGCGAACAGG
rnacentral:rRNA from 1 species